rnacentral:rRNA from 1 species
AUUGAACGCUGGCGGCAGGCCUAACACAUGCAAGUCGAACGGUAACAGGAAGCAGCUUGCUGCUUUGCUGACGAGUGGCGGACGGGUGAGUAAUGUCUGGGAAACUGCCCGAUGGAGGGGGAUAACUACUGGAAACGGUAGCUAAUACCGCAUAACGUCGCAAGACCAAAGAGGGGGACCUUAGGGCCUCUUGCCAUCGGAUGUGCCCAGAUGGGAUUAGCUAGUAGGUGGGGUAACGGCUCACCUAGGCGACGAUCCCUAGCUGGUCUGAGAGGAUGACCAGCCACACUGGAACUGAGACACGGUCCAGACUCCUACGGGAGGCAGCAGUGGGGAAUAUUGCACAAUGGGCGCAAGCCUGAUGCAGCCAUGCCGCGUGUAUGAAGAAGGCCUUCGGGUUGUAAAGUACUUUCAGCGGGGAGGAAGGGAGUAAAGUUAAUACCUUUGCUCAUUGACGUUACCCGCAGAAGAAGCACCGGCUAACUUCGUG